GACAAUGCCAUUUAAAAUUCUUUAUUUGAGACAAAAUGGACAAGAAAAUAAGGGUUUUAUUCAAAGCCACAAAGGGAAGCAGCAUGUGAUUCCCAGUACUAUACUCACAACAAAUUUUCCCUCUAGAAAGGAACCAACUGAAUUCUUUAUGUUUUUUAUAUUGGUAGAAAUGCAGUAGAAAAUGGAAAUUAAAAUAAGUGAGGGAAAUACACACAAUAGUAUCUUAAAAUUAGUAUACAAAAUUAUAAAACCGGAACACAAUCAGUUUUAGACAUGCAUGAUUUUCUUUCAAACAGUAAUAUUCUCAUGUAAAAUUACUGAAUAAUAAAGUAUUCAUGUGUGAACAGUCAUUUUCAUUUUCUAGUAUCUUGCACAAGUAUAACUAUACAUUUUAAAAAUCUAUAUUGAAGUGUACAAUCUAGGAUGUUCACUAAUACAAAGGUGUUAAACUCACAUCAUAAAAUGUCAUGUAAUAAAACAUUCUUCACAAUAUUUGUUCUAAAAAGUGGUUAAAGCCCAUGUCCAAAUAUCUAUAUAGAGAGCUCUUAACUGAGUUAACUUUAGAAAAUAAAGAGCAGAAAUAUAAAUAUACUGUGUGUUUUAUAAUUAAUAUUAAACUUGAUGCUGUUUCAUAUUUUGAUAAGAAUACCAGUAUGCUAAAGUGCAUAAGAGAAUGAACAAUUUUUACUUAAAAAAAAUUAAGGUAGCCAUCUCAAUCACACUUGCUUCAAAGGUACAAGAAUACCAGCAGAAGUUUCUUUAAGAUCAUGUGAAUGGUUCUCAGGACAUUUCUGUGUCCUCUGGCACCUGAAGACAUUGCCUGAAUUUCAUCAAAUGUUUCUUGAUUUCAAUUUUCCUUUGGUAAUUCAUCUCUUAGUUACAAUAUAACUUCUUUGACUACUUGUUUGUGUUUCUAGAUGCAGAAUUAUUUUGUCAGGGAAAAGUAAGUUGAUGUGUAACUUGCAGAAACUUCCAGAAGACUCUGAUCAAUAAUACUAUUUGAAGUUCUUCCCGAUGAUGUCAAUGGUAAAGCUCUGAAUCAGGAGGCAAAAGCAAGCCUUGGAAAGCUAUCUUAUUUUUCAAAAUGUCAGUAAGGUAAGCCUAGUAUAUUUCAGGUGCCAGUCCUACAAAUUUACAUGAGGGGAAACAUGUAAACAAAUUUUAAAAUGUGUAAUAGGUGCUACAUUAGAAUGCUGUACCUAGUACAAUUGAGGAACAAGGAAGAAUCUGACCAAUUCUACCCAUCGUGUCAAUAAUGAUUCCAUAAAGAAGGUUAACAUCAGGGCUCAACAGUGUCUUCAAAAUUAGUAGGUAUCCCCCAAGUGUAUGUUGUGGAAUGGAGUGGGCUGAGUAAAAACAGCAUGAACAAAGGUAAAAAGGCUUAAGUAGCACAACAUGUUAGUGGAAUUAAAGUAGUUUAGUAUGAUUUUCAUUGAAUGGGGGGCUGAGAUGGGCAUGAUAUGAAAGAAACAAUAGAAAGGCAGGAUAAAGUCGUUACAAAAAACAUUUCUCUCAUGCUAUGGAGUUUGGAUUUCUUCCUAUAGGCGAUGAAGAACCACUGAGAAGGAGUGAUUGACAUGAUCUUCCUGAGAAAUAAUUCUGACAGUUAUAUGGAAGAAACAGCAAAACUGAAGGUGUUACAAUUGUUAGGCUGUUACAGUGAUCCAGAAGAGAGCUAAGGAGGCAGUCCGAAGAGAGGCCAUACCAAAGAGGAUAGAGAGGAUAGCAGAGAUGUUAAGAAAGUAUAUGGCUCAGGGCAUGAUUGCUUAUUCAAUGUGAGAGAUGCAAAAUGGGAGGUGUAAAAAAGAUGAUCUCAAGUUUCUGGUUUGAUUACUGGAUUGUUUAUGGCUUCAUUCACCAAAACUUGAAUUGCUGGAGAAAGAAAAGAUUUGGAGAUGAGUAUAAUAUGUUUCCUUUUGGAUAUGUUGAUUCUGAGUGCCUUAUGGGAUAUUUAGAUAGAGAACUCAUUUAAUGAGUGUACAAAACAAACAAACAAACAGCAAGUAUACCAUAAGCAACAAUUAGAGAGGCAUAAGAAAACAGAUAGGACCACCAAAGAAGUAAACAGAGUUUCACAUAAUGGGCAACAAUGUUCUGUUCUGCAGGGAAGGUAAUUAAGAUGAAGACUGAAGAAAGUCUUUUUGGUUAAUUUGAUUUGGAUUGGGCAAUUUGAUCAACAGUUUCAUUAUGACUUCCAACAAUAAAUAGUUACUGGAGGUUUUAAUGAGGUAGAUUUAAGAGUGAAUAGGAGAGGACUUCGCGGUAGUAAAAUGAAAUGGCAGCUACCUACAUCCGUCAUAAACAAUACAGAACAACAAGAAGAACAAAUAAAUCUACACAAAAUACACCCUAAGCCUAACAAGAAAAAUAAUAUAGCCAAAUGUCAAAUAAUUGUAAGUAAAAAAAUUAAAAGCACCAAAUCCAAGUGAGUGAUCUUUCACAUUUCUACCAUAAGCCUUUGUAGCAAGCAAGGGCAGUCCAAAGAAGAACAUACACAAUAAAGAAAAACGGAUCUAGUGGCAGGCCUAAAAUUAGUCUAAAAUCAUAAGCAGAGAUAUAAAUUCUAUCCUAGGUGCAAAAAUAUAAAGUAUCUCAGUAUCACAACACUUACUACAGGAUAGCUUCAGGCAGUGGAGAAAGGCAAAAAGAAUAGGCAAGUUGCCUUUUGGCAACUGGAUGGUGAAGGGGAAAAGAAGCAACAGGAGAAAUUCAGGGUCCUGUAAGACAAAAACAAAACAAAAAGAACUGGAACACACAUAAUCCCUCCCUCUAUUACGAAGUUAAAAAAAAACACCCACUAAAGAAACUGUACUUUUCUAUGCUGACGGAGAGAGUGCUUGUGAACUAGCAAUCUUACAACCCCUCAAAUUCAAAUAAACGAAUGGAAGGAAAUGGAAUAAAUCUAUAUCAUGGUAGUAUGAGAAAUCAGCAAACAAUAAUUAACAUGCAUUGGCUGAUGAAAAUUCUCUACCAAUAGCAACCAUUAAAGCAGAAGAAAAUUGUAACACAACAUAUCAAACUGAAUAAAAUCCUCAAAUAAGCAUUUGGGGAUAUGAAAAAGCACCGUGAAUUGGAAAUUCAAAAUAUGAAAAACAGAAAUAGAUAAAAAAAAAAAAGGACUAAAUUGAAAGAUUAUUGAAUUCAAGAAAGAAAUGGAAGGGGGGAAUUAUAAAUGAAGACUAAAUUACAAGGUGCCCAAAGGAAAAGAGACUAAUGAAAACUUAGGCACUGGAUAGAUGCAAAAUAAAUAAAUAUGAUACAGAAAAAAAGAAAAAAGGGUCAGAAAGAGAGUGAAAGUUGAACAAAAGAUAAAUAACUCACGUAUAACUGGAGUCCCUGAAGAAGAAAUAAAAAUCAAUGGAACAGAACUAAUAUUUAAAAUUAUAAUCCAUGAAAAAUUAUCAGAAAUAAAAAGGAUCUGAAUCUACAUUUUGAAAUGGAUUUCCAGUUAACUGGAAAAGUAAACUUUGAAUGUUAACUCCAAGACAUAUCUCAGUAAAACUAUUUAAACUUGAAAAAAAUAUUUUAAUCCUUGAGGAUUCAGGGAUAUGUGACCAAAUAAUUUACAAGCGCAAAAUAAUUAAACUGAUAUCAGAUUUCUCAAAAAAUCUAUGCAAAGGAAGACAACAAAUUUUCAAAAAACUGAAAGUGUGAACCAAGAUUUUAUAUUCAGUCAAGUUGCCCUUCAGUACACAACACUAUAAUAGAAAAACAGCUUCAAACAUAUAAUUUAGAUAAUUAUGUACCCAUGAACCAUUCAUGAAGAUCUACUAAUGAAUGAGCUUCACUCAACAAGAGAUGACUGAAAAACUUCAGCAAAAUAAAAUUAUGAUAUUUACUAUAUUUAAUAGUAGCUUUCAGACUAAACCAACAGUAGGAACGAGAGUGCAAAACCAAUACACAAACAUUAUAUGUUGCAAUCAGGUAGAAAUAAAGCAACGAAAAAAUGGGAGCAGAAGUUACAUUAAAAUAAUUGAUUGCUGUAUAGACAAUAAGCGUUAAUUAAGGGCACUAAAACCUGACAAACUAGAUAGUAAAUAUUAAUAAGAAAAUGGAGAAUAAAGUAUAAAUACAAAGGUAACCACUAGAAUAAAAAUUCUUAAGUAUCAGCAAAAAAUUUUCAUAAAACUACAAAUAGUAUACAUUGCACAGAAAAUAAACAAAGCAAAUAUAAUAAUAAAAUUUUACAUCAGGCUUCAAACCAAACAUUCAGUCAUAUGAAUGAUGAGUGGGCUUGACUCACCUAUUUAGCUUAUUUCAACUUGGCUUACAAAGCUAGAACCAGCAGUAUACUGUAUACAAGAAACAGAGUGAUGUAAGAAGACUAAAAAUAACGGAUGGACAACGAAAUAUAGGGGAAAUGAAAACAGUAAGAAAAUAGGGGAGGUGAUCAUGAUAUUAGGCAAAGUAGAAUCCAAGCCAAAAAAAUAUAAAUAUGACCCCAAAUCUCCUUUUUUUUUUUUUUUUUUUUUUU
ensembl:lncRNA